rnacentral:sRNA from 1 species
CCAAGGAUUGUUAUCCUGCUGUUCAGAAAACGACUUUGGUUAUCAUGGAACGACUGCAACAGGUUCUUCAGAUGGAGUCACAUAUCCAGAGCACAUCCGAUAGAAUCCAGUUCAAUGACCUUCAGUCUUUACUCUGCGCAACUCUUCAGGUAUGGUGGUGCCUUAUGACUUAAUAACUCCAGGUUAGAGAAUUAUUAGUAUCUCAGUAUAACAAGUUCGUGUACACACAGCACUCGAAAAUGGUAUAGAUGAUGCGGAUCAGAAGCUGUUCUCAGAAGGCUUUGGUCUGUGAUUGGUCGAUUGGGAGAGGAAUUCCCCACCUGCCUUACCUGUCUGUCUAGAAAGAUUCAAAUCCUACUUAUUUACAGUUGGUCUAGAUGUAAUCUUGAUAAAAUCAAACCAACUUGACUUCUCCUAAUUCAACAUA